UUUUAUUCGGACACACUACUUGUGAAAUAAAAUACAGGAAGUUAAAAGAUGAUUGCUAAAUGUUUGUUUUGUACUUGUACCAAAUAAAACACGAUUGUUUCGUACUUUAGUAUGGGAAUGGAAAGUUGUUUCCCACCAUGGGAAAGUAAAUAUUGGCCAUUAGAUAAAGUGGAGAAUAUAGUUUUAUCAUAGACACUCGACACCAAAUUUUUUUCCAUAAACUAUCUUCUCCGUGCCCCACUCACACCAACCAUUAGCUGUCCCAACUUUGCUUGCUUCUUCCUCUCCUUCUCGUGUCUGUGUAUAUUCCGGAAAAAAUUUCAAUGAUAGAGAAAAAAUUCCAAGACAGUGGCGGCAACGCAUUGAAAGAGUAGCAGUUCCAAGCGGUUACCUCUAAACAAAAGAAGAAUCAUUGCAUGUAACUCUACCCACACGGUGCCAUGGUAAUUGGGCUCCACCCUCAACAACUCCCAUGGAACCACCACUUCCCAUCAUCAUCAUCUUUUCACUUGCAACCUAAAAAGGUGUGGAAAUCCCUUCAAGAAAGCAUCCAUCUUUGGUUUUGACUAUGACAGAGUUUAUCUUCAAUUUUGAUUUCACCACUUCUCUCACUUACGAUUCCAGUAAUAUUACCAUUAUAAACUGACGAAAAUUAAAUGCUAACAAGCAAGAAAAGUGGAGAAAAAAAUGAAGAGGAUCAAAUGAAAUAUUUUAUGUAUGGUGUUGUUUGGCCAAACAUCUCUGUUCUGAGUAUGAUUUUAGCUUGAAAUAGUGAAGGUGGAAGAAAGAGGAGUCUCUUUCUAGAUUAAACAGAUUGGAACUGAUCCACAACCUCUUAUACUUACUUAAACCCAUCUUUCAAAUUUCAAUUAAUAAAAAAGUCAUAGAUCCAGAGAAAUCAAAUAAUGAAACUAUAACAUAAAGACUCAAAAUUUCAAGAACCAAUCACAAAAUAAAGAACAAAAUCCUUGGAUUGAAUUUGGGUUUGGAUUUUAGAUUGGAGGAAUUUCUUUCGGGGGUUAGAGAGAACCACAGACCCAAUGGAAUUUUUGCCAUAAUAGUUUUUUAUCGUGUUCUUGGUGGGGAUCAAUUACAAACUUCAAACCCCAUUCGCAAAACUUGUCACUUUUCAUAAGUUCUAAUUGAAAUUUCUUCUAUCAUGUUUUAAUUUAUUUAUGUGUAAUUUUUUGUCACUGAGAGAGAAUCACAUGCCCAUGCCCAUGGAAGUUUUGCCAUUGAAAUAUAGGGAAUGGUUUUUGAAAAAUCUAUUUUUCUGUCACUGCCAAGGAUUGAAGGAGAGGAAGAAGGAGAUCCGUCAAAUGGUGAGUGGAUGUGGGGUAAACAAUUUGGUGUUGAGUGUCUAUGAUAAAAUUAUGUUCUCUACUUUAUCUAAUGGCUAAUAUUUACUUUCCCAUGGAUUGAAACAACUUUCCUUUUCCAUACUAAACCCCACCAUCAAAUUAUAUUGACGUACUUUGAUGACAGUCCGUCAUUCGCUAUUUCUAGAGUCUUUUUUAUAUGUAUUUUGAUCACAAAUUGGAGUUCACAAGGCAACUUAUGCAGCAAAAGAGUAGAAAACUGAAGAAAACUGAAGAAAAUACAAAGAAGAGAAUCGUGCCACGAUUUGGUAAAAACGUGACACGAUUUUAGAAAACCAAAAUCAAGCUUCGACAUUGAAGAAAUCAUGUCACGAUGGCAUAAUCGUGGCACGAUCUGAGGAAAUCCUAAUUCAGUAAUUUGCGAUUCAAGGAGAAUCGUGCCACGAUUUUAGGCGAAAUUCUGUGCCUAUUUAAGCUGAAGACUAUUCUGAAAACAAGGGUUACGAUUUGGAGAGAGCAAAGUGCAAUUUUGAGACCUAAAGACGGCUAGGAGGGCGAUUUCUUCAACCUUCUAUCAAUUUAUGUAUGUUUUAAUUCCACUAUUGAUUAUGCUAUUUGUAAACACCAUUAUGAGUAGCUAAAUCUCUUAGAGAUUAGGUCUGAGAUGAUUCUUUGUAACCCUAAUUGAACCAUGUUGUUGUGAAACUCUAUUUAUUGUGAAUGACAAUCUAG
rnacentral:lncRNA from 1 species